rnacentral:rRNA from 1 species
UACGUAGGGUGCAAGCGUUGUCCGGAAUUAUUGGGCGUAAAGAGCUCGUAGGCGGUUUGUCGCGUCGGCUGUGAAACUCGGGGCUCAACCCCGAGCCUGCAGUCGGAUACGGGCAGACUAGAGUGCUGUAGGGGAGACUGGAAUUCCUGGUAGUAGCGGUGAAAUGCGCAGAUAUCAGGAGGAACACCGGUGGCGAAGGCGGAUCUCUGGGCCGUUACCUGACGCUGGAGGAGCGAAAGCGUGGGGAGCAAACAGG